ACAGACAAACAAAACCAAAAAGAAACAGUAAAUUAACAAAAUACAUUUGAAGAUCAUACUGUUUUCAUCCUUGUCCAUGGAAUUUGUGUUUUGUCUUUGCCUUUUUUGAUGUCAAAAUAGAGGAGAUUGUUUGCAUCUAUAGAGAAUAAGUUGUAACGAUAGUCUUUAUUUUUGGUAAUGAAUAAGUAAGGUUAAAACUGUCUCUAUGAUUAUAAAAACUCAUGGAAUUAUCCAGGAAACUUUCAUUGCAAAGAAUUAAAAAGUUU
rnacentral:lncRNA from 1 species